CCGGAAUGGACUAGGCUAACUGAAAUCACUAAUUGAUCUUAUCAAUGUGAUAUAGUAAGGGAAAACAUAUGAUAUUACUUUACUUAUAGUGUUGUCUAAUUCUGGUGCCAGAAGACUCGGUAAUACCAGUAACGCGAACGUUAGUCAUCUUUAUCAGGCGUAAAGGGUUUGUAGGCAGCUUUUAAAAAAAAUUCUUAACUAUAUUAUAUUGUUAAAAAUAGUAAUAAAUAGUUAAGUCUCUAAUUUGAGAGCUAGAAUCAAAUAGAAGUUAAAAAGUAUAAUACUUAGAGAAGGGUUGAUAUUCUUAGAACCUAAGGGGAAUACUAAAGGUGUAAACAACUAACUAUAAAUGAUUGACGCUGAGACACGAAGGUGAGGAUAGGAAAUAGGAUUAGAUACCCCGGUACCCCUCUCUGUAAACGAUGAAUGGUAGUUAUUAGUGUAUUACUGGUAACGAUGCUAACGCGUUAACCAUUCCGCCUUGGGAGUACGAUUGCAAAGUUGAAAACAAAAAAAUUAGUCGGUCUCGGAGCAAACGGAGUGAAGCAUGUUAUUUAAUUCAUAAUCCGCAGG
rnacentral:rRNA from 1 species